rnacentral:rRNA from 1 species
UGGGGAAUAUUGGGCAAUGGGCGAAAGCCUGACCCAGCGACGCCGCGUGGGUGAUGAAGGCCUUCGGGUUGUAAAGCCCUGUCAUGUGGAAAGAACAGUUCUGCGGUUAAUACCCGCGGAAUUUGACGGUACCACAGGAGGAAGCACCGGCUAACUCCGUGCCAGCAGCCGCGGUAAUACGGAGGGUGCAAGCGUUGUUCGGAAUUAUUGGGCGUAAAGGGCGCGUAGGCGGUUGUGAAAGUCAGAUGUGAAAUACUUCGGCUCAACUGAAGAACUGCAUCUGAAACUUCAUAACUCGAGUACAGGAGAGGGAAACGGAAUUCCCGGUGUAGAGGUGAAAUUCGUAGAUAUCGGGAGGAACACCAGUGGCGAAGGCGGUUUCCUGGCCUGAUACUGACGCUGAGGCGCGAAAGCGUGGGGAGCAAACA